GGGAGGGGAGAGGGGGAACGGCGAAAGAAUGAAAACGUUAUGUCACCUCGCGGACUCCUAUUUCGAUACCUUGAAACCAGAUCGAUGUCAUCCUGCAAUUUAGCAGCCGAAGGAUGAAAGCGUAAUUAAUGAUCGCCUUGUCGAUCGGCUGCAAAGCAAACAGAGCAGAAGCGGACUCUCUCUCUCUCUCGGCUUCUUGGCGAUGAUGUUGACGUCGAUGACGAGAAGACAUACGGAAGGAUGCUCCUCGGACGUGAUACGCACGAUCGACCAAAAAAAGAAAUGAAAAAUAUCCAACGGUAGAGCAAGUAGAUUCUUCUAUUCCAUCAACUGUUCUCAUGAAAACCAUGUAUCUCGAAGUCUUACAAUAAAACGUCAUUAUACAACCGCUAA